rnacentral:rRNA from 1 species
GAUGAACGCUAGCGGGAGGCUUAACACAUGCAAGUCGAGGGGCAGCAUAGGGUAGCAAUACUCUGAUGGCGACCGGCAAACGGGUGAGUAACGCGUAUGCAACCUACCCUGUACAGGGGGAUAACCCGGAGAAAUUCGGACUAAUAUCCCGUAAUAAUAUCCGGAGGCAUCUUUGGAUAUUUAAAGUUCCGACGGUACGGGAUGGGCAUGCGUAACAUUAGCUGGUUGGUAAGGUAACGGCUUACCAAGGCUAUGAUGUUUAGGGGUCCUGAGAGGGUGGUCCCCCACACUGGUACUGAGACACGGACCAGACUCCUACGGGAGGCAGCAGUGAGGAAUAUUGGUCAAUGGGCGCAAGCCUGAACCAGCCAUCCCGCGUGCAGGAAGACGGCCCUAUGGGUUGUAAACUGCUUUUCCAGGGAGAGAAACUUACGCACGUGUUGCGUGACUGACGGUACCCUGGGAAUAAGCAUCGGCUAACUCCGUGCCAGCAGCCGCGGUAAGCUAGUCUACG